ACAAGAUAAGUACAGACUUGGUUUUUCCUCUCUGUCCUUACACUAUUUGUCACCUGUUUCUAAGAACUAUUAUCUACUAUCUUACUAUUAUUGUUACCUUUGGGGGCUUCCCCCCUCCACCCCUCUGGCUCUGGGACCUUUUCUACUGCUUUUACUAGCCUAACCCUUUACAGGGGGUCUUAACGGCAUUCUCGCUGUCUUCACCUAUACUUCCCAGUGUCAGAUCAAUUCGCGGGUUUCUUUCCCGCCUUAAUUGUCAUUCGCACGUCAUUUUCGCGAAUGGCACUUUCUGUUUGCCCAUUCGCAUAGACUUGUUCCCUUUGACAAACGCCUAACGUCUGGCAAAAUUCCCGCGAAC